AAGUAAAUUAGACUCAAAAGAAAAUGUUGAACGAAAGAAAGUAAGAUUGGUUGCAAAACGUUUCACUCAGCGAGAGGGCAUUGAUUAUGUUGAAACCUUCUCCCCUGUUUCGUCAAAAAAUUCUUUUCGAAUUAUCAUGGCUCUUGUGGCACACUAUAAUUUGAAAUUUCAUCAAAUGGAUGUUAAGACAACAUUUUUGAAUGGAGAUCUUUCUGAAAUGGUUUAUAUGAAACAACUUGAAGGUUUUGUUGUGAAAGGAAAAGAAAACUUGGUGUGUAAGUUAAACAAAUUCUUAUAUGGUCUCAAGCAAGCAUCUCGACGGUGGUAUUUGAAGUUUGAUGAGGUUGUGACCUCUCUUGGUUUUGUUGAAAAUACUAUUGAUCAAUGCUUAUAUCUUAAAACCAGUGGGAGAAAUUUUAUUUUCCUCGUACUGUAUGUUGAUGACAUUCUGCUUGCUAGCAAUAACUUAGGGCUGCUUCAUGAGACAAAGAAAAUAUUGUCUACUAAUUUUGAGAUGAAAGAUCUUCGAGAAGCUUCCUAUAUACUUGGCAUUGAAAUACAUCGUGAUAGAAAUCGUGGCUUAUUGGGACUUUCUCAAAAAGCUUAUAUACGACGUGUUCUAAAAAGGUUUAACAUGCAAAAUUGUACACCUGGUGAUGUACCUAUCAUAAAAGGAUAUAAAUUUAACAAAACUCAAUAUUCAAGGAAUGAGCUAGAAAGGAAAUCUAUGAAGAUGAUUACAUAUGCUAGUGCUGUAGGGAGCUUGAUGUGUGCUCAAGUUUGCACUAGACCGGAUAUAGCCUACGCAGUAAGUGUCCUUAGCAGAUUUCAGUCCCAAGACAAGAGCAUUGGAAAACAGCUAAGAAAGUUACGAGAUAUUUGAAGAAAACUGAAAGUUAUAUGCUUACAUUCCAACAUACAAAUCAUCUUGAGGUGGUAGAAUAUUCAGAUUCUGAUUUUGUCGGAUGUUAAGAUGAUUUGAAAUCAACCUCAGGUUAUAUUUUUACAUUAGCUGGUGGUGCCAUUUUUUGGAAAAGUGCUAAACAGACUCUAGUUGUAUCUUCUACUAUGCAAGCUGAGUUUGUGACAUGUUAUGGGGCUACAAUCCAAGUCGUUUGGUUAAGAAAUUUCAUCUCUGGCUUGAAAGUUGUUGAUUCUAUCUCAAGAACGAUCACCAUCUACUGUGAUAAUAGUGCAGCGGUAUUCUUUUCAAAAAAUAAUAAAAGUUCUGGUGGAUCAAAACAUAUUGACAUCAAAUAUUUGGUUGUUAAAGACAGAGUCAAAGAAGGGCAGAUGAAAAUAGAGCAUAUCAAUACAUAGGCGAUGGUUGCAGAUCCCUUGACUCAGGGACUCGCUCCAAAAGUCUUUAAGACACAUGUUACUAAUAUGGGUAUUGUGGAAACAUUUGAUGUUUUUGGUUAGUGUGAGUUAUUUAUGUAAAGAACUACGUUUUGGACUUGAUCCCUUUGCGGGAUACGUAGGCAGCCCAUAUGUUUUUGGGUACAAUUCCUUCUGAUAAUAAAAUAAUUUUCCCCUAUCCAUGAACUAUUUUAAGCAUGCAUUUGAUUUAUGUCUUUUUAUAUUAUUGGCAUCUUGAAAUAUGACGUAUAAAGACAUAAGAUGAAUCUCUUUUGGAGACAUGUGGUUUCAUUUUGAUUCGAAGCAUUAUGAGGACCGAUAUAAGUUAGCAUAAUUUUUUUUAUCACAUUUGGUGCUAAGUUCAUACCACAUACUACCACAUUGGUUGGAGGAUGAAGAUCCAUGUCGAUGAGGAUGUUGACCUGUGGAAUGGUCUUACAUCGCUUCAUUGGUAUAAUGAUUUCCAUGUUCGGUAUUAAUAUUCUUGUUGGACCGGAUCAUGUAACGUAAGGUGUCAUCAUUGGAGCUAUAUUUUUGUGACCACCUAUGUAGUCUAACCCGGGUAUUAAAACUUUGUUAUGACAAUCAAAUUUGUCCAAGUGAGAGAAUGUUGGAAUAAUUAAUAAUUUCAUAUGUGGGCUUCACAUUCGAUUGCAAAUUUUAUGGGUUAGAUGUAUGGCUCAUAAUGAUAUUUGUGUUUGGGUCAAAUUUAUUAAGUGAUCAAUUGGGUCUUUUACACCUUACGGGUUGUAAUUAAUUUGAUGUGAUAAUUUAAAGUAUGUGAGUCGGAAAUGAACCCUAAUUAGAAUUCUAGUCGUAAUGAGACGACUCAAUUAUUUUCUAUAUAAAGGCUAGGUCCCCUAUUCUCUCCAUAAGUUUUUUAUUGGCUUGCCCCAUUGAUAGCUAAUACUUUUGUGAGAAGCAAGGAGGAGAAGAUCUUGACUGCUAUUACAACUAUCAUUCAUAUCAACAAUGGCUUCCGCAGGUAUGAAUUCGUUUCUAUUAAUUUAUUGGAUUGUGAUUAUCGAUUCUUAACAUGAUUAAAACUAAAUAUUAACUAGACAGCUAAGAAGAAACGGGUACAAUGAUAUACAUUAGACACACAGUAAGGAUUCUAUUUUUUGGGACUUUUUAUGGCUUUGUCAUCUUUUAUGAGCCAUAGUUCAUGAAAGUGAGGCCCAACGCCUGACCUAACUAUUUUAUGUGUCAAUCGGAGACCUCUAUAAAGGAUUGUAUUAAGAUUUUUAAGGGGGAUCAUCACAUUCCUAUAGUAUUCUGUCUUGGAUAUAGAUAAGAACUGAUCUUUGUGUCCACCGGUUGAAUACUGCAUUCAUCACUAUUUUUGCUUGUGGCAUAGUCUUCAUUCUAUAUGAGCCACACAACCUUUACUAUUAUGCCUCUUUUGUGUUAAUUUUGUUAUUUUCCUCUUUAAUUGUCAUAUAUUUUGCUUCGUAAUUAGAUUGCACUAUGUUGAACGUGAUAGUUAUUUUCCAUAGGCAUUGAGCAUGUUUACUUUUUACGUUUAUGUUUAUUAGGAGUAUUUUUCCUAUGUAAUCGAAAACGAGGCCAUCCGGGGCCAUUGUUAGCAGAUGAUGAUUUGAUCGUGCUUUCAUUUCCCUCCGAUUCAUCUGUGUUCUCUAACCCAGGGAUGGUGGUACUUGGCAAAGGGCUUUUAUUUCCAGAAGAUCGGAGACGCUAAGAGCAACUUGUUUCAAUAAAGGCAGCUGAGAACACGAUGGUUAGAUUUUUCAGGUAUAGUAUUUUUUGUUUACUUUAUUAUGGAUAACUCAAUUGGUUGACGCGAACUUACUCUACUGAUUCUAGCGAUUGCAAGGCCCUGUCUUUCACAAGAACGAAGCUCUUAGACAGGCUAGAAAGGUGCGCUAAUUGCUGGAUGCAAAUACUUCAUUACGUGGAGAAGUUGAAAGUUUGAGGAUGGGGAAGAAAAAUGUUAACUUGGCUGCUAGAAAGGUGAUAGAUGAGCUAGCCAAGAUGGUUCGCGAGAAACUAGCAUUGGAGGAGGAGCUUGCAAACUUGAAGAAAUCUUCUGGGGCUCAGAUUGCUUUUCUGGAGGAUCGUUUGGAGAAUUGUCAUUUGGAAGUUGAGAUAGCUACUAGAGGCUUUCUUAUGAAUGAUUAUAAGUAAGGUAAACAUGUCAGCUGGGACGUAGACAAAGCGAUUGCCGAUUAUAUUGAGUUAUGUCAGAUGCUUGAUAUGCUAAAUAUGAUAGAAGAGCAGCCCGAAUUCAAGGUUGUGUUUGGUGAGGGAGUCGGGAAUGCCGAUGAUGGGCAGGUUUAGAUACCUUAUGCACCACAUUUUCCAAGUGUGCUUUCGGUUGGCAUUUUCUUUCGGACUUAUGUAUCAGUGUCUAUACGAGCGUAUUUGAACUUAUGUCUUUCUGUAAUGUUGCUAGCUUAUCAAAGAACUUGAUGAAAUAUCAAACUUAGAAUUUUAUUCAAAGUACAAUGAAAUCAUGCA
rnacentral:lncRNA from 1 species